rnacentral:lncRNA from 1 species
UUGAAGAUUGUUCGCGAUUUUGGCUGGAUUCUCCUUGCGAUUUUUCUUGAUUUUCUUGAACGAGACAUCUUGCGAUCUGAUUCUAUUUCUUGGGAUUAAAGUUUGUUUGGGUGAUUGAGGAGGAAAGAGCCUUGCAACAGGGUUCUCUUCCCAGUGGAAAAUAAGACAGUGUUCUUGCUGAUCGUUGUCAAGGAUUCUUGCGGGAAUUCUGCUCGCGAUUUUGACUGGAUUAUGCUCGUGAUUUUCUUGAUUGAGUUUUUUUUUUCCCGCUAUGAUCCUCGAGAAUUGAACAGUCUGCUACUUGUAAUUUUCUGCUCGCGAUUUUCUUGAUUGGGAUUUUUCUUUCUGGUGGAACUUGUGAUUCCCUGAUAAAAUCGAUCGUCCGCUCCAGCAAUCAAGAAAUUGGAGAACUGCUGAUAGUUGCCGAGACCACUGCCGGCUAUUUCUGGAAGUCAAGAUUGUCUGCUGCUCUCGAUCUGAUUCACGAUUCUCGCGAUCUGAUGCUGCUCCCGGUUCACGAUUCAGGAGCUGCUCGCGAUCUGAUUGGAGGACUCGCGAUCUGUUUCUGCUCGCGACCAGAUUGGAGGAUUCACGAUUCUUUCUGCUCGCGAUCUGAUUGGAGGACACUUCUUGCGAUCUAGUUUUGGCGAUUCUUGAGUACAAUUCUUGCGUGUUCUGUUCUAGUCCUUCUGUUGCGAUUUGAACAAGGAGGAUCUUCUUACACGCGACUCUGCUCGAGGCUCACGUUGCUGCGAUUCUUUGGCUUGCUGAUUGGACGGGACUGGAGGGGAAAUUCUGGAGGCUGAAAUCCAGAUAUUUUUUAUUUUUAUUUUUUGCUCUCUUCCAUUUAGACUUUUAUUUUGCUUGCAUUGGUUGUUGUGUCUCCCUACUCGUCUCCAUACAAACUUAGC